UAAAGGGACCAACCAAGGGAGGUGAAGAAAGAAGGAAGAAGGGAAGUGAGGCAGCAGCCAAGCAGCACCAAGUUCCUGUGUCAGCAGGUUUUUCCAAGUGCUGCCCAGCACGGGGAUCCGUGUGCUGGGACAGUGAUUGGCAGGAGGAAGGGGAGCCUUGGCCUCACCUGCCCAGCUCAGGCCAGGCCAAAGCCCUGAUCCAGCCCAGCUCUGCCAAGU